GAUGAACGCUGGCGGCGUGCCUAAUACAUGCAAGUCGAGCGAACGGACGAGAAGCUUGCUUCUCUGAUGUUAGCGGCGGACGGGUGAGUAACACGUGGAUAACCUACCUAUAAGACUGGGAUAACUUCGGGAAACCGUAGCUAAUACCGGAUAAUAUUUUGAACCGCAUGGUUCAAAAGUGAAAGACGGUCUUGCUGUCACUUAUAGAUGGAUCCGCGCUGCAUUAGCUAGUUGGUAAGGUAACGGCUUACCAAGGCAACGAUGCAUAGCCGACCUGAGAGGGUGAGCGGCCACACUGGAACUGAGACACGGUCCAGACUCCGACGGGAGGCAGCAGUAGGGAAUCUUCCGCAAUGGGCGAAAGCCUGACGGAGCAGCGCCGCGUGAGUGAUGAAGGUCUUCGGAUCGUAAAACUCUGUUAUUAGGGAAGAACAUAUGUGUAAGUAACUGUGCACAUCUUGACGGUACCUAAUCAGAAAGCCACGGCUAACUACGUG
rnacentral:rRNA from 1 species